rnacentral:rRNA from 1 species
GCGCCUUGCCAGCCCGCUCAGAAACUACAAUGAUUGACGGGCCCCGCACAAGCAGCGGAGCGUGUGGUUUAAUUCGAUGCUACACGAAGAACCUUACCAGGGUUUGACAUACAAGUAGUAGGAAAGGAAACUGGACCGACCCUUCGGGGAGCUUGAACAGGUGCUGCAUGGCUGUCGUCAGCUCGUGUCGUGAGAUGUUCGGUUAAGUCCGCUAACGAGCGCAACCCUCGCUGUGUGUUACAAGUGUCACACGGAACUGCCGGUCAUAAACCGGAGGAAGGUGGGGAUGACGUCAAGUCAGCAUGGCCUUUAUAUCCUGGGCUACACACACGCUACAAUGGGAAGGGACAAUAGGUUGCGAAGCCGCGAGGCGGAGCCAAUCCAGCAAAACUUCCCUCAGUUCAGAUUGCAGGCUGCAACUCGCCUGCAUGAAGUUGGAGUUGCUAGUAAACGCAGGUCAGCCAUACUGCGUUGAAUACGUUCCCGGGGCUU